rnacentral:rRNA from 1 species
AACAAACGCUGGCGGCGUGCCUAACACAUGCAAGUCGAGCGGUGCAGUUUGAAGCUUCGGUGGAAAGCUGCAUAGCGGCGGACGGGUGAGGAAAACGUAGGAACGUGCCCCUUGGAGUUGGAUAGCCACGGGAAACUGUGGGUAAACCGACAUAGACUCGAGAGAGUAAAGGCCGAAAGGUGCCAAGGGAGCGGCCUGCGGCCCAUCAGGUAGUUGGUAGUGUAAAGGACUACCAAGCCGACGACGGGUAGCCGGUCUGAGAGGAUGGCCGGCCACAAGGGCACUGAGAGACGGGCCCUACUCCUACGGGAGGCAGCAGUGGGGGAUUUUGGACAAUGGGCGAAAGCCUGAUCCAGCGACGCCGCGUGGAGGACGAAGCCCUUCGGGGUGUAAACUCCUUUUCUCAGGGAAAAAGGAUGAUGGUACCUGAGGAAUAAGCCCCGGCUAACUACGUG